GAUGAACGCUAGCGGGAGGCCUAACACAUGCAAGUCGAGCGGUAAUCCCUUCGGGGGUGAGAGCGGCGCACGGGUGAGUAACGCGUAUGCAACCUACCCCGGACAGGGGGAUAGCCCGGAGAAAUCCGGAUUAAUACCCCAUACAUUUAUGAAUCUGCAUGGAUUUAUAAACAAAGCUGAGGCGGUUCGGGACGGGCAUGCGUGGCAUUAGCUUGUUGGUGAGGUAACGGCUCACCAAGGCUGCGAUGCCUAGGGGUUCUGAGAGGAUGAUCCCCCACACUGGUACUGAGACACGGACCAGACUCCUACGGGAGGCAGCAGUGAGGAAUAUUGGUCAAUGGGCGGAAGCCUGAACCAGCCAUCCCGCGUGAAGGAAGACGGCCCUAUGGGUUGUAAACUUCUUUUAUACAUGAAGAAAGGCAGGUACGAGUACCUGCGUGACGGUAAUGUAAGAAUAAGCAUCGGCUAACUCCGUG
rnacentral:rRNA from 1 species